rnacentral:lncRNA from 1 species
CUGCCAUUCUUCCAGAGUGGGUAGAUCUUGUGUCUUCCAAUACUUUGCAGUGAGUAUUCUUGCUGCUGUUGUAGCAUACAUAAAAAAGUUCUGUCCUUCUUUGGCACCAAUUGGCCGACAAUGUCCAGAAGGAAGGCCUCUGGUUUCUUCAGAAAGGUAUAUUUAAAUACCUUUUUCAGUUCAUUAUAUAUCAUUUCCCAGAAAGCCUUAAUCCUUGGGCACGUCCACCAAAGGUGAAAGAAUGUACCUUCAGUUUCUUUACAUUUCCAACAUUUGUUAUCGGGCAAAUGAUAGAUUUUUGCAAGCUUGACUGGGGUCAUGUACCACCUGUAUAUCAUUUUCAUAAUAUUCUCUCUUAAGGCAUUACAUGCCGUAAACUUCAUACCUGUGGUCCAUAACUGUUCCCAGUCAGCAAACAUAAUAUUGUGUCCAACUUCUUGUGCCCAUUUAAUCAUAGCAGAUUUCACCGUUUCAUCCUGAGUAUUCCAUUUCAACAGCAAGUUAUACAUUCUUGACAAAUUUUUAGUUUUGGGUUCUAACAGUUCUGUUUCUAAUUUUGAUUUUUCCACCUGGAAGCCAAUUUUCUU